rnacentral:rRNA from 1 species
UACGAAGGGGACUAGCGUUGCUCGGAAUCACUGGGCGUAAAGGGCGCGUAGGCGGCUCAUGAAGGCUGUGGUGAAAGUCCGGGGCUCAACCUCGGAUCGGCCGUGGCGACUCGUGGGCUGGAGCACUGUAGAGGCGGGUGGAAUUCCGGGUGUAGCGGUGGAAUGCGUAGAGAUCCGGAAGAACACCAGUGGCGAAGGCGGCCCGCUGGGCAGUGGCUGACGCUGAGGCGCGACAGCGUGGGGAGCAAACAGG